rnacentral:misc_RNA from 1 species
GAAACCUAAAUUCUAAAUUUCUUAGAAAAAAAUGGGUCUUCCAGAUUUAUGGUUACCUAAAAUACAAUACAUGCUCAUUUUUUUUGGGUUACGUGAUACUUGUUAUUCGUGACUUUCCGAGAAAUAUGUAGGCGUGUUGUAGUUUUGCAAAAGCGAAUGGUAUUUGUUUCUGCAAAAUAUAAUCAAUAUAAUCAAUUGAA